UCUUUAGAGAACCAGGAAAAAUAUCUCUUUCUCCCUCACCGUGUUUGAUAAAUCAGUAUCGAAAUCUCAAAGGUUGCAACUUUUUUUCUUUCUUUCUUCGCAUUCUCUCGUUCUCCACUCCAUAUGAAACCCUGAAUUUUUCAGAUCUCCUCGUCUUCAUGCUUCAAUUAAGAAGCAGAAAGAAAUCCCAUUUUCUUCUUGUAAUUUUCUUCAUCUUUCCAGAUCCGUUUGCUAUUACCAAAACGGAUUGACCUUCAUGAACCUAGAAACAACCACUACGAUUAAAAUCCUUUCUUCUAAAACGAUUUCUUCGAAACUCUUACCUUCAAAACAAACCCAUUUUCAGUUGUUAUUUAUCUUCAAAGAAGCCCAAUUUCUUUAUUUCUUCACCAAUUCCUUUUGGUGCUAGCUGUUAGGAGUUUGAUUUUCUUCAAACUUUAUCAGAAGAACAUGCACUUGCAUUUUUUUUGGAAGAUCUUCAGCCUUCAGGAAUAUGAUGAAAGAAAAUGAGAAACUACUGGUGGGUGGUAUAAAUGGGUGUUUAAUUUGAAGAAAGAGUUGGUGGUGGAGGUUGUAUGGACUAAACUGAUGGUGGUGGAGGUAAAACGUUGGUGGAGCUGGCAACUAGCUCUCUGCUAGUGGUGGAGGUUGUAUGGAGUGAACUUGUGGUGGUUAAUGGGUGUUUGGAGGUUGUAUGGUGUGAACUUGUGGUGGUGAAUGGGUGUUUGGAGGUUGUAUGGACUGAACUGGUCUCUGUAGAAACUUGGUUCACUGAAACUCUGAAAGAAAGCUUUCAAAGGGAUAUUUUGGUCAAGUAACCGUUGGUCAUCGAGAUUUUGGUGGAAGUGGGACUCCUGGUCAUACAUUUGUAGAGGUGGAUUUUUUUAUGCAUAAAAAUCUUAAAGGAUGCUGUUAUAUACCGCCAUACGAGUUAAAAUUGGCCAAGUCUGAUCGGUCUUUCUAGUAGAGGUGCUGAUGUUGAUUGUUGUUUUGAGCAUAGAGUUGUAGUUGUUGAAGUUACAGAGCUGGAGGAAGACGUAAUCAUAGACAUGGACAAGAUUUUUUAAUUCACUAGUGGAGAAUGGGCUAUCUGAGACACAAUGAAACAACACCAAGUAAAUCUCGCGGUUCAACUACAUGUAGAAAGUGUCGUUACCUAAGGCCAAAUUGACGUAUCAGGACUUUUGUUGACUUAGCCAACAACUUACUUACUGUGCAGCUGACUAAAGUCAAGAUGCCGUUAUGGCUAGAAUUUUGUUGACUUAUAUAAAGACAUUACGUGUAGUGUUGUUUCAGUGGUACGAUAUUCCACCUUGUUUGGUUGGGAAUUAGGAUUUGCUCUCGUGUCAAAUAUUAGACCUCAACCUUAUCCCAACUGAGAGAGAAAAAACAUAUUCUUCUCCGCCUCUCUCGUCUCCCUCUCUUCUUCUCCCUCACCUUGUUGUUUACACUGUGGAGAUGAUAUUCUCAAUUCUUAGAUUUUAGGCUGUUAGAUCAGCAUAAAAUAUCAAAGCUGUAUCUACUUUUUUUUUUUUUUCUCCUUCUCCUCUCCAAAUCGAACCCUAGGUUUGUCAGAUCUACUUAUCUUCAGCUCUAAAUUAAGAACCAGAGAGAAACCAUUUUUUCUUGUGACCUUCUUCAUCUAUCCGGAUCCAUUUGCUAAUUACCAUAAAGAAUCGACCUUAAUGAACCUAAAAACCACCAAUAUGAACCAGAAAGAAAAAUAACCAUUAAAAUCCCUUCUUGUCGUACCAUUUCUUUGAAACCCUUACCUUCAAAAAAAACCCAUUUUCUAUUGUUCUGUAACCAAUUUCAGCUUAAUUUUUCCCUAUUCUUCAUCAUAUAGGUUUGAUUUUGUUGACUGGGUUUUAAUUAUCGUUCGAUUUUCAUUGUAGCAAUUCUUAGAAGAACAGUUAAAAUCUUCACUUGCAUUUUUUUUGAAGAUUUUCAGCCAAUCAAGUAUAACUUCUCCUUCACUUUAACUUGUUUCAAAUGGAUUUGAUGUUAAUGAAAUUAUUUAAAGUCAUUUGGUGUUACUCUUGUUUUAAUUAAGUAAUUAGAAGUCAUCCAGAAUUUUUGUCAAACUAAAUUGGGUAUUCUUAAGGAUUCUGAUUUCGGAUGUUGGGUUUAUAAUUCUUGUCAAAAAAAAAAGAGUUAUGUGGUAUUUAUGAGUCUGAAAUUGGGUUUGAUUUGUUAGUUUUAGUGGGCUGUAUUGAUAAUUUUUGGUUAUCACUGGUGGUGGUGGAGGUUGUAUGGACUGAUGGUGGUGGUGGCUGGGUGCUUGGAGAGGGAAUCAAUGAGUUCGAUAAAGCAUUGGUGGUGAUGGUAACUAGCUCGCUGCUAGUGGUGAAAUCAACUAAAUCUCAUAGUUGAGUCUCAGCUUUCUUAACAUUUGGAUUCUGCUGAUGUAGAGUGUAUGGGCCGUGUGGCGAAUUAGCUGUAUUACCAUAAGCCUUCACACACUUGCUUAUUAUUCAAGUAUGUAGUAUUCAUGAAUCACAAUGCUUCAAUCACAUCUGCACUAAAGGUCACUUAUUUUAAUUGUACACAUACUUUAAGUUGAAUGGUUUAGGAAAUAAUUUUACUUUCAGCCUAAAUAAUAGUUGAGCAUCAUAUUAAGUCUAAUGAUUAGGAAAUUUUGUUUAAGAACUUGAAUAGGUUGGUGGUCCAUUAAGUGAUUGGUUAUUAGAAUGCUUACAACGCACAUUUUGGGUAAAUAACUUGGGUCCUACACUGCUACUGGUAGUAGCCAAACACAGUAGUAGUAUAUGUAUCACUUGUUAAAGUUAUUCUAAAAUCCCUGCUUUACAACUAAACUUUGUAAUGGAGCAGUUUAUAUGCUUACAGUCAUUUAUAUGCCUUGCUCUUUUUUAUGAACUUUGUAUCUGUUGUAAUGGUCAUAGUGAAUGUUUCCUGCUUAUUAAUAAGUAUGAUAGGAAGCUAGAUAAAGUGAACUAUGUUGUCGUCUAACUUAACUUUAAAACUGCCGUGUACUUAGAUGUGCUGCAUACACAAUACUUACACUUUCGAACUUCUAUUUAAUUUAAGUUUGGAUCCGUGCCGUGAACUACUUAGUAGCUCGUGUUCUCUUUUCCUUAUGAGAUCCUUCUUUAUAUAUGUAUUUGUGCCCAGUACAAGUCUACUUGUUUCUAUCCGAUAACUCUUGGGAAUUUAAGAGUUCAUUUUUGUUCAUGCUUCUUGUAUAAUGCUGUCUAGCUUAGUUGCUCUUUAAAUGCCUGAUUUGCACUUUCUAGUCUGGCUAGCCCCUUGUUGGCAGGUCUUGCUUGUAUGUAUCUUUACCUGUUUUACCUUCUACUUGUGCAGUUCUAUGUUUUCAGUUGUUAUAUAUAAUGGAAUUGUUAAGUGCUAUUGUGGUGUUCGAUUCUACGUUUGUUUCAUUUCUCCUUGCUUCUUUGCAAGUUGUAUUCAUAACUGCAUUUUCUAAAGUCUGCCUGCUUGCAUUUGUACAGGCAGGGCGGGUCCCAAAGGGGAAGCAGGGAAAGCUCCACUUUGGAGCAUCAAGGCCUAGGGGGCAACAAAAUAAGUGCUUUAUGUUUUGGGUUUUUAUCAAAAAUAAAAACAUUUUUAGGGGCUUAUUCAUAAAUAUAUGUGAUAUAUGGGGCAGAAAUUGAACAGUUUUAGGACUAAAUUGGAAAUUCUUUUCUCUUUCCACUAAAUAAUCCUUAAUUCCCUAUUGCAGGCUUAGAAAAAAAAUCGCAGCUACCAGAAUUUAGGAGGUAUAUAUGCUAAUAAGGCAUUGACUUGUUCUGUGCACGACAUAACUGAUUGCUGGCACAAUUGGUUGAUGUCAAUGUUCAAAGAUUUGCCUAUCAAAAAAUUAUAGGAUCUAGUAGUUCAAUUUAUGAUCGAAAAAUCAUACGCUGUACAUUCAUUCCACUAUUCAAAUUUUUGUUUAUCGCAGUUACCUUUUUUCCUCCUUUAAGACACGCCUUCACUUAAAAAGGAAGCAAACAUUACGAUCUCAAAAUAAAAAGAAGAGUUAAAAAAUGCUCUUGUUACACUAAGUUAAGCUGCAGCGUAAAAGAAUUAAUAUAAUUAUGGGGGCAAAAAAAUUUAGUCCACUUCGGGGCAAAAAAAAGUCAGGACCGGCCCUGGUACAGGUCUGAGAAAAUUCUUCAGGGGCGGGCUUUGAGUUCUCUUGUUCACAUGUGCAUAUGUAUUGCAAGUUGGCGUGUAAGGAUGGAAGCACAUCUAGUAAACAAAUCACUCUUGGUGUUGUUUCUAUUUUUUUAUGAAUUUCUAUCAAUUAUACUGGACUGGUAUUAUACAGAUUUUGGUUCUCCCUGUUAUGAGUAGAAGCAAGCUAAACUUAAUUUCUUUUUUAUUUUCUGUUGUUAAUGAACUUGUUAAUCUGAAUAGCAUCCGUCUAUCUAAAUAGAUCAUUAUUCGUGUGUGUAACUGUGGAUUCUGAAAUAUUGUGACAAGUCAUUACAAGUUUGCAGUCAGCAGAUUAAGGACCAGAUAUAAGUUAUUACACUCACGAUCAACUAUGACUUCUCAACAAGGCACUAAAUGCAGAUGAUGAUAUGGUUGAUUUGAAGCAAUUAGAUGAGGAUAUAGAGGUACUGCAAAGAAGUUAAAUGUGGUUUUUAGCUCUCAAGAUGCUCAUCUUACUAUGGUUGCUAAUGAAAUGAGGCGGAUGUUUUCAGUUGGUGGUCCUGGAAAACGGUUGCAGUCACUACUAUUUCGAGACCUUCAUGGAUGCUGUCACUCUCUUUCCGAUGGUCUCAUGAGGGUUUCUGAUGUCAUGGUUGAUGGUGAGAUCGUUGUUGCUGCUAGAUAAGGAAAUGUUGGAAAGGGUUGUGCUUCUACAGGAUCUUCUCUCAAGCAAGCUGGUGCAAAGGUCCUAAUGACUGAAAUUGUGGUUGAAAUUUUUUUAGGACUUAUUGUAUCACUUCUCUUUAAGAAACCUUAAUAAUAGGGGUUGAAUCCUUUUCUUUUUAAUGAUUUUGGACUAAACUUAUUCAAUGUAAUGAAGCUGUCAUUUAUUAUUAGAUGAUUCAGGUUUUAUUUGGAAUUUGUAUUUGAAUUUUAAUAUUUUAAUAUUAAUUGUCAUUCGAAUUUCACUUGAA